rnacentral:rRNA from 1 species
AUUCCAGCUCCAUGAGUGUAUAUUAAAGUUGUUGCGGUUAGAAAGUUCGUAGUCGAAUUUCGAAUCGAUGUGGCUGCGUCUCUCAAGAUGAGAGUACACUUCUCGCAUGAUUCAUUACUUUCCAAUGCAGUGUUGAGCACUUAAUUGAGCUUUUCAUGUGCUUGGAAACUUUUACUGUGAACAAAUCAAAGCGUUCAAAGCAGGGGAUUCCCCAUUGAAUGUUCAAGCAUGGGAUAAUGGAACACGAUCGUAUUUCUUUUCAUUGGUCUGAGAAAUAAGAUAAUGAUUAAUAGGAGUGAAUGUGGCCAUUAGUAUAAUGAAGUGAGAGGUGAAAUUCGAUGAUCUUCAUUGGACUAACAGAUGCGAAGGCGUUUGGCAAGUGCACAUUCAUCA